rnacentral:rRNA from 1 species
GGUGGUGCAUGGUUGUCGUCAGCUCGUGUCGUGAGAUGUUGGGUUAAGUCCCGCAACGAGCGCGACCCUUAAGCUUAGUUGCCAGCAUUCAGUUGGGCACUCUAAGGUGACUGCCGGUGACAAACCGGAGGAAGGUGGGGAUGACGUCAAAUCAUCAUGCCCCUUAUGACCUGGGCUACACACGUGCUACAAUGGACGGUACAAACGGUUGCCAACCCGCGAGGGGGAGCUAAUCCGAUAAAACCGUUCUCAGUUCGGAUUGUAGUCUGCAACUCGACUACAUGAAGCUGGAAUCGCUAGUAAUCGUAGAUCAGCAUGCUACGGUGAAUACGUUCCCGGGUCUUGUACACACC